rnacentral:rRNA from 1 species
GAUGAACGCUGGCGGCGUGCCUAAUACAUGCAAGUCGAGCGAACAGACGAGGAGCUUGCUCCUUUGACGUUAGCGGCGGACGGGUGAGUAACACGUGGGUAACCUACCUAUAAGACUGGGAUAACUUCGGGAAACCGGAGCUAAUACCGGAUAAUAUUUCGAACCGCAUGGUUCGAUAGUGAAAGAUGGCUUUGCUAUCACUUAUAGAUGGACCUGCGCCGUAUUAGCUAGUUGGUAAGGUAACGGCUUACCAAGGCAACGAUACGUAGCCGACCUGAGAGGGUGAUCGGCCACACUGGAACUGAGACACGGUCCAGACUCCUACGGGAGGCAGCAGUAGGGAAUCUUCCGCAAUGGGCAAAAGCCUGACGGAGCAACGCCGCGUGAGUGAUGAAGGUCUUCGGAUCGUAAAACUCUGUUAUUAGGGAAGAACAAACGUGUAAGUAACUGUGCACGUCUUGACGGUACCUAAUCAGAAAGCCACGGCUAACUACGUG